rnacentral:rRNA from 1 species
GAUUAAGUUAUUAAGGGCGCACGGUGGAUGCCUUGGCACUAGAAGCCGAUGAAGGACGUUACUAACGACGAUAUGCUUUGGGGAGCUGUAAGUAAGCUUUGAUCCAGAGAUUUCCGAAUGGGGAAACCCAGCAUGAGUUAUGUCAUGUUAUCGAUAUGUGAAUACAUAGCAUAUCAGAAGGCACACCCGGAGAACUGAAACAUCUUAGUACCCGGAGGAAGAGAAAGAAAAUUCGAUUCCCUUAGUAGCGGCGAGCGAAACGGGAAGAGCCCAAACCAACAAGCUUGCUUGUUGGGGUUGUAGGACACUCUAUACGGAGUUACAAAGGACGACAUUAGACGAAUCAUCUGGAAAGAUGAAUCAAAGAAGGUAAUAAUCCUGUAGUCGAAAAUGUUGUCUCUCUUGAGUGGAUCCUGAGUACGACGGAGCACGUGAAAUUCCGUCGGAAUCUGGGAGGACCAUCUCCUAAGGCUAAAUACUCUCUAGUGACCGAUAGUGAACCAGUACCGUGAGGGAAAGGUGAAAAGCACCCCGGAAGGGGAGUGAAAUAGAACCUGAAACCGUGUGCUUACAAGUAGUCAGAGCCCGUUAAUGGGUGAUGGCGUGCCUUUUGUAGAAUGAACCGGCGAGUUACGAUUUGAUGCAAGGUUAAGCAGUAAAUGUGGAGCCGUAGCGAAAGCGAGUCUGAAUAGGGCGUUUAGUAUUUGGUCGUAGACCCGAAACCAGGUGAUCUACCCUUGGUCAGGUUGAAGUUCAGGUAACACUGAAUGGAGGACCGAACCGACUUACGUUGAAAAGUGAGCGGAUGAACUGAGGGUAGCGGAGAAAUUCCAAUCGAACCUGGAGAUAGCUGGUUCUCUCCGAAAUAGCUUUAGGGCUAGCCUCAAGUGAUGAUUAUUGGAGGUAGAGCACUGUUUGGACGAGGGGCCCCUCUCGGGUUACCGAAUUCAGACAAACUCCGAAUGCCAAUUAAUUUAACUUGGGAGUCAGAACAUGGGUGAUAAGGUCCGUGUUCGAAAGGGAAACAGCCCAGACCACCAGCUAAGGUCCCAAAAUAUAUGUUAAGUGGAAAAGGAUGUGGCGUUGCCCAGACAACUAGGAUGUUGGCUUAGAAGCAGCCAUCAUUUAAAGAGUGCGUAAUAGCUCACUAGUCGAGUGACACUGCGCCGAAAAUGUACCGGGGCUAAACAUAUUACCGAAGCUGUGGAUUGUCCUUUGGACAAUGGUAGGAGAGCGUUCUAAGGGCGUUGAAGCAUGAUCGUAAGGACAUGUGGAGCGCUUAGAAGUGAGAAUGCCGGUGUGAGUAGCGAAAGACGGGUGAGAAUCCCGUCCACCGAUUGACUAAGGUUUCCAGAGGAAGGCUCGUCCGCUCUGGGUUAGUCGGGUCCUAAGCUGAGGCCGACAGGCGUAGGCGAUGGAUAACAGGUUGAUAUUCCUGUACCACCUAUAAUCGUUUUAAUCGAUGGGGGGACGCAGUAGGAUAGGCGAAGCGUGCGAUUGGAUUGCACGUCUAAGCAGUAAGGCUGAGUAUUAGGCAAAUCCGGUACUCGUUAAGGCUGAGCUGUGAUGGGGAGAAGACAUUGUGUCUUCGAGUCGUUGAUUUCACACUGCCGAGAAAAGCCUCUAGAUAGAAAAUAGGUGCCCGUACCGCAAACCGACACAGGUAGUCAAGAUGAGAAUUCUAAGGUGAGCGAGCGAACUCUCGUUAAGGAACUCGGCAAAAUGACCCCGUAACUUCGGGAGAAGGGGUGCUCUUUAGGGUUAACGCCCAGAAGAGCCGCAGUGAAUAGGCCCAAGCGACUGUUUAUCAAAAACACAGGUCUCUGCUAAACCGUAAGGUGAUGUAUAGGGGCUGACGCCUGCCCGGUGCUGGAAGGUUAAGAGGAGUGGUUAGCUUCUGCGAAGCUACGAAUCGAAGCCCCAGUAAACGGCGGCCGUAACUAUAACGGUCCUAAGGUAGCGAAAUUCCUUGUCGGGUAAGUUCCGACCCGCACGAAAGGCGUAACGAUUUGGGCACUGUCUCAACGAGAGACUCGGUGAAAUCAUAGUACCUGUGAAGAUGCAGGUUACCCGCGACAGGACGGAAAGACCCCGUGGAGCUUUACUGUAGCCUGAUAUUGAAAUUCGGCACAGCUUGUACAGGAUAGGUAGGAGCCUUUGAAACGUGAGCGCUAGCUUACGUGGAGGCGCUGGUGGGAUACUACCCUAGCUGUGUUGGCUUUCUAACCCGCACCACUUAUCGUGGUGGGAGACAGUGUCAGGCGGGCAGUUUGACUGGGGCGGUCGCCUCCUAAAAGGUAACGGAGGCGCUCAAAGGUUCCCUCAGAAUGGUUGGAAAUCAUUCAUAGAGUGUAAAGGCAUAAGGGAGCUUGACUGCGAGACCUACAAGUCGAACAGGGUCGAAAGACGGACUUAGUGAUCCGGUGGUUCCGCAUGGAAGGGCCAUCGCUCAACGGAUAAAAGCUACCCCGGGGAUAACAGGCUUAUCUCCCCCAAGAGUUCACAUCGACGGGGAGGUUUGGCACCUCGAUGUCGGCUCAUCGCAUCCUGGGGCUGUAGUCGGUCCCAAGGGUUGGGCUGUUCGCCCAUUAAAGCGGUACGCGAGCUGGGUUCAGAACGUCGUGAGACAGUUCGGUCCCUAUCCGUCGUGGGCGUAGGAAAUUUGAGAGGAGCUGUCCUUAGUACGAGAGGACCGGGAUGGACAUACCUCUGGUGUACCAGUUGUCGUGCCAACGGCAUAGCUGGGUAGCUAUGUGUGGACGGGAUAAGUGCUGAAAGCAUCUAAGCAUGAAGCCCCCCUCAAGAUGAGAUUUCCCAACUUCGGUUAUAAGAUCCCUCAAAGAUGAUGAGGUUAAUAGGUUCGAGGUGGAAGCAUGGUGACAUGUGGAGCUGACGAAUACUAAUCGAUCGAAGACUUAAUCAA